rnacentral:rRNA from 1 species
UACGGAGGGUGCAAGCGUUAUCCGGAUUCACUGGGUUUAAAGGGUGCGUAGGAGGGCAGGUAAGUCAGUGGUGAAAUCUUCGAGCUUAACUCGGAAACUGCCGUUGAUACUAUCUGUCUUGAAUACCGUGGAGAUGAGCGGAAUAUGUCAUGUAGCGGUGAAAUGCUUAGAUAUGACAUAGAACACCAAUUGCGAAGGCAGCUCGUUACACGAAUAUUGACUCUGAGGCACGAAAGCGUGGGGAUCAAGCAGG